CGCUUCCCAUACAAUUACUACUAUGGCUAGAUUAACCAGACAACCAUAACAAAGGGUACCAUACGUACUUAACAUCCAUAGAAAGCACUGAGCUUGAAAUUGGUAACAGUGCUACCCGAUUUCGUCCAAAAUCACUACCAAGGAAAUACGGUUCUCUAAAAGAAACCAAAAGGAAAUUAAUCUAAGCAUUUUGAAAAUUGUGGAUCUUUGGCAACCAGUUUAAUAAAUGUUUGGUUUCA